GUCCUGGAAAAUUUCAAGUCGAGCAUUUUUAAGGAAAUCCUUUAAAAUGUAAGAGGAACUUAGAAAUAAAAUCACCAAUAAAUUCCUUAUGAUAUGAACAAGCCUAUACAUCCCAGCUUUUAUAGGACUGAUAUUUCUUGUGUCAGAUUUUCAUAAAGAAGGAUGGAAGUGAUCACAAGCCUGGGUUUUUUUCCCCCUUAAUAUUAUAAACGAAGUUACAAGACACUGUUCUCAAAUGCCAUAUGUCUUCCUUUCAGUUGUUUAGAACUAUUUCUAAGGAUCUAACACAAGAGCAGAUGAGCCACACUGGCUGGAUUUGGGGAUAAUUGGAUUUUCUUUUCUCUUCACAAAAACUAUGCAUGCCUGGAAAGAACGUACUGUUCCCCUGAAGAGAAAUUCUCUAAUGGCUACAGAUGGGGCUCAAGAACAAGGAGAUGCAAUUGCAACCAGGAUGUCUUGUGGAUAAGAGGUCCAGCCCAAGCUUUGGUCAUAUUGAAGUCAAUACUGGGACCUCUUCUUGAUGAGACCAAAAACACAUUUGAUCUAUCUGCUGCUGCUGCUGCUGCUAAGUCGCUUCAGUCGUGUCCGACUCUGUGCGACCCCAUAGACGGCAGCCCACCAGGCUCCCCC
rnacentral:lncRNA from 1 species